AAGUCGUAACAAGGUUUCCGUAGGUGAACCUGCGGAAGGAUCAUCAACAAAAUAUAGGGCGCAAGCCAUAUAAAUCAUUUGUUUAUUGAAAAUAAAUUAAAUAUAUAAAAAACUUUUAACAAUGGAUCUCUUGGCUCUU
rnacentral:misc_RNA from 1 species